GGGGGGGCAAGCGUUGUUCGGAAUUACUGGGCGUAAAGGGCGCGCAGGCGGCCCGGCAAGUCCUACGUGAAAUCCCACAGCUCAACUGUGGAACUGCGUGGGAUACUGCCAGGCUUGAGUCCGGGAGAGGAGAGUGGAAUUCCCAGUGUAGCGGUGAAAUGCGUAGAUAUUGGGAGGAACACCGGUGGCGAAGGCGGCUCUCUGGACCGGUACUGACGCUGAGGCGCGAAAGCUAGGGGAGCAAACGGGGAUUAGAUACCCCGGUAGUCCUAGCCGUAAACUUUGAGCACUUGGUGUGGCGGGUAUCGACCCCCUGCCGUGCCGAAGCUAACGCAUUAAGUGCUCCGCCUGGGGGAGUACGGUCGCAGGGCUG
rnacentral:rRNA from 1 species